AGCAGCCGCGGUAAUUCCAGCUCCAAUAGCGUAUAUUAAAGUUGUUGCAGUUAAAAAGACUCGUAGUUGAAUUUCGGGAUUAAUUUAUUGGUCGUGCAAUAGUACGUACUGGUAUUAUUGAUUCCUACCUUCUGACGAACCAUGAUGUCAUUAAUUUGGUGUCAUGGGGAAUCAGGACUGUUACUUUGAAAAAUUAGAGUGUUUAAAGCAGGCUCACGCUUGAAUACAUUAGCAUGGAAUAACGAAAUAGGACGUUUGAUUCUAUUUUGUUGGUUUCUAGGAUCGACGUAAUGAUUAAUAGGGAUAGUUGGGGGCAUUAGUAUUCAAUUGUCAGAGGUGAAAUUCUUGGAUUUAUUGAAGACUAACUACUGCGAAAGCAUUUGCCAAGGAUGUUUUCAUUAAUCAAGAACGAAAGUUAGGGGAUCGAAGACGAUCAGAUACCCGUCGUAGUCUUAACCAUAAACUAUGCCGACUAGGGAUCGGAUGAUGUUUAAUUUUUUAAUGACUCA
rnacentral:rRNA from 1 species